CCCCAGGCAGUGUCAUCAAGAGGGAAGGCUGCUGAAUGUAUUAGGACAACCGCAUUGGAAUGAGGUCUCAUUUGAGACGCCAGCAGCGCCCCCUUCACUGCUUACCCUAACAGGCUGGGAAGGCUGGGCAGUCCACUGAGAGUUUCAAGCGUCUUGGUCUAGAGAGAGUCUAGGAGAGAAGCUUCCAGUAGGAAGAGCAUCCAUGUGUAAGCUCUGUUUUCUGUGCUGUGGGAGGAAAUGAGGGCAUCCAUCUCUUUGCCAGGCCCUCUGCCAGCCAGACUGCGUAGCCUGCUCCUGCCCUCUGCUGGCCAGAAGGAGCUCUUGCAGCACUCCCCCAAACACACACACUCCACUGGGCUAGCCCAUGGGAACUCACCCUGCCCAAUCCUCCCUCCUCAUAGGCACCUCCAUCAGACCAUUCUGAGUCUGCACACUCUGGAGAUCUCUGCCUUAGGUUUAAAGUGGUCAUGGAGUGCUUUGCAGCGUUCUGAUCAGCGAGUCUCGUGUCUCAUUCUGUGUUAGCAGGAAUAACCACAGAAAGCGCAAACACCAAUCCUGGAAGGUUUUACCAUCCUGGUACUGGUGGCACAGGCCUUUGAUCCCAGCACUCGGGAGGCAGCGGCAGGUGGAUCUUUGUGAGUUUGAAGCCAGCCUGCUCUACAGAGCGAGUGCCAGGACAGGGUCCAAAACAACACAGAGAGAAAC
rnacentral:lncRNA from 1 species